UACGGAGGGUGCAAGCGUUAUCCGGAUUCACUGGGUUUAAAGGGUGCGUAGGUGGGCAGGUAAGUCAGUGGUGAAAUCUUUGGGCUUAACCCGAAAACUGCCAUUGAUACUAUUUGUCUUGAAUAUUGUGGAGGUCAGCGGAAUAUGUCAUGUAGCGGUGAAAUGCUUAGAUAUGACAUAGAACACCAAUUGCGAAGGCAGCUGGCUACACACAUAUUGACACUGAUGCACGAAAGCGUGGGGAUCAAACAGG
rnacentral:rRNA from 1 species